CACCUCUCAGGGUCAUAUCUGGAGAAUUUCCAGUAUUCUACCAGUUUCGACUAUGGGAGGGAGAGUCAAAGAGAGGCAUAUCCAUUCCAUUCCUAGCUUGGGCAGUGGCUAGCGAGUGGAAGGCAAUCUGCUGCAAGU